rnacentral:rRNA from 1 species
GACGCUGGCGGCAUGCUUAACACAUGCAAGUGGAGCGACGAACCUUUUAGGGGCAAAGACCGCGAACGGGUGAGUAACACGUGGGCAAUCUGCCCAGUUGACUGGAAUAACUCUCCGAAAGGAGAGCUAAUACCGGAUGUGCCGUACCUACACAAGUAGGUCCGGUAAAGGUAGCUUCGGCUAUCCGCAAUUGGAGGAGCCUGCGGCGCAUUAGCUAGUUGGUGGGGUAAAGGCCUACCAAGGCGACGAUGCGUAGCUGGUCUGAGAGGACGAUCAGCCACACUGGAACUGAGACACGGUCCAGACUCCUACGGGAGGCAGCAGUGGGGAAUCUUGCACAAUGGGCGACAGCCUGAUGCAGCAAUGCCGCGUGAGGGAAGACGGCCUUCGGGUUGUAAACCUCUUUCAGUUGGGAUGAAGGUUGGCCGGUGAACAGCCGUGUCGACUGACCGUACCUUCAGAAGAAGCUCCGGCUAACUACGUG